rnacentral:misc_RNA from 1 species
GAUGAAGAACGUAGCGAAAUGCGAUAAGUAAUGUGAAUUGCAGAAUUCAGUGAAUCAUCGAAUCUUUGAACGCACAUUGCGCCCCCUGGUAUUCCGGGGGGCAUGCCUGUUCGAGCGUCAUUUCACCACUCAAGCCUCGCUUGGUAUUGGGCAACGCGGUCCGCCGCGUGCCUCAAAUCGACCGGCUGGGUCUUCUGUCCCCUAAGCGUUGUGGAAACUUUCGCUAAAGGGUGUUCGGGAGGCUACGUCGUAAAACAACCCCAUUUCUAAGGUUGACCUCGGAUCAGGUAGGGAUACCCGCUGAACUUAAGCAUAUCAAUAAGCGGAGGA